rnacentral:rRNA from 1 species
CCUACGGGAGGCAGCAGUGAGGAAUAUUGGUCAAUGGACGAGAGUCUGAACCAGCCAAGUAGCGAGAAGGAUGACUGCCCUAUGGGUUGUAAACUUCUUUUAUAAAGGAAUAAAACGAGGCACGUGUGCCUUUUUGCAUGUACUUUAUGAAUAAGGAUCGGCUAACUCCGUGCCAGCAGCCGCGGUAAUACGGAGGAUCCGAGCGUUAUCCGGAUUUAUUGGGUUUAAAGGGAGCGUAGAUGGGUUGUUAAGUCAGUUGUGAAAGUUUGCGGCUCAACCGUAAAAUUGCAAUUGAUACUGGCAGUCGUGAGUACAGUUGAGGUAGGCGGAAUUCGUGGUGUAGCGGUGAAAUGCUUAGAUAUCACGAAGAACCCCGAUUGCGAAGGCAGCUUACUAAACUGUGACUGACAUUGAUGCUCGAAAGUGUGGGUAUCAAACAGGAUUAGAUACCCUGGUAGUC